rnacentral:misc_RNA from 1 species
GCUUCAGAGAAACUUACUGCAAGUAAUCCUAUUGAGUAUUUUUGCUUGCAUUCUGUGCACUGAAAGCAUGUUGCCUAUCAGUUAUUUGAAUGUUACCCAUAUUACUAUAUUUCUUGUGAAUAGAUUUGUGAUUUCCUUGUUCAGACUCAUGCAUUUAUCUGCUGCCACUAUAAGAAAUAUAUUAGCGAGCAGGAUCUUAAAAUGCCUCGAACCUGUAUGGCUAUAAUGGUGAUACAUUGAAUAGUUAUACAGUAAUGAUGUCAUCCUAACAUCUAUUGGACAUUGGUUUUGGUCAUAUGGUCUAAAAUGAUGCACUUAAUGUGAGUGCAAUUCUUGUGUUUGAUGUGCUGCUUUUUAAUCUCUUCAUAUAUAUCUUUUUAGUAUUUUCCUAGAUCCUUUGUUUUAAGUUUGUCUUGUUAGUUAUGUGGGGAAACAGAAAACCGAAACAAAAUUGCCUAAACAGAAUUAUUUUUGAGACUUGUUUGUGGUCCUCAAAAUAAGUUCAUAAUAAUUUGUUUGACCCAGUUCUUUCGUUCAAUUAAUUUUCUUUUGAUGGUGUAAAUGUUAAACUUCUCGAAGAAAUCAUAUAAUUGCUAAUAUUAUUACAAAGCAUGUGUAUGUGACCCUUGCAUGUUUCUAUACGUUAACAUCAGCAUAUAUCCUUGUCAAAAAAUAAAUAAAU